UAAAGGAAGCGAUUCCGGCUACGGAUGGGCAUGCGGCGCAUUAGCUAGUCGGCGGGGUAACGGCCCACCGAGGCGACGAUGCGUAGGGGUUCUGAGAGGAAGGUCCCCCACACUGGUACUGAGACACGGACCAGACUCCUACGGGAGGCAGCAGUGAGGAAUAUUGGUCAAUGGGCGAGAGCCUGAACCAGCCAAGUCGCGUGAGGGAAGACGGUCCUAUGGAUUGUAAACCUCUUUUGUCGGGGAGCAAAAAGGCCUCGUGAGGCCACAAGCGAGAGUACCCGAAGAAAAAGCAUCGGCUAACUCCGUGCCAGCAGCCGCGGUAAUACGGAGGAUGCGAGCGUUAUCCGGAUUUAUUGGGUUUAAAGGGUGCGUAGGCGGACUGGAAAGUCAGCGGUAAAAUCGAGAGGCUCAACCUCUUUCCGCCGUUGAAACUGUCGGUCUUGAGUGGGCGAGAAGUAUGCGGAAUGCGUGGUGUAGCGGUGAAAUGCAUAGAUAUCACGCAGAACUCCGAUUGCGAAGGCAGCAUACCGGCGCCCGACUGACGCUGAGGCACGAAAGCGUGGGUAUCGAACAGGAUUAGAUACCCUGGUAGUCCACGCAGUAAACGAUGAAUACUAAUUGUCCGG
rnacentral:rRNA from 1 species